CCUCACAGGUCUAUACCAUCCUAGGACUCUACAAGAUAAACAUCACAGGUCUAUACCAUCCUAGGAGAUAAACAUCACAGGUCUAUACCAUCCUAGGAGAUAAACAUCACAGGUCUAUACCAUCCUAGGAGAUAAACAUCACAGGUCUAUACCAUCCUAGGAGAUAAACAUCACAGGUCUAUACCAUCCUAGGAGAUAAACAUCACAGGUCUAUACCAUCCUAGGAGAUAAACAUCACAGGUCUAUACCAUCCUAGGAGAUAAACAUCACAGGUCUAUACCAUCCUAGGAGAUAAACAUCACAGGUCUAUACCAUCCUAGGAGAUAAACAUCACAGGUCUAUACCAUCCUAGGAGAUAAACAUCACAGGUCUAUACCAUCCUAGGAGAUAAACAUCACAGGUCUAUACCAUCCUAGGAGAUAAACAUCACAGGUCUAUACCAUCCUAGCUCUACAAGAUAAACAUCACAGGUCUAUACCAUCCUAGCUCUACAAGAUAAACAUCACAGGUCUAUACCAUCCUAGCUCUACAAGAUAAACAUCACAGGUCUAUACCAUCCUAGCUCUACAAGAUAAACAUCACAGGUCUAUACCAUCCUAGCUCUACAAGAUAAACAUCACAGGUCUAUACCAUCCUAGUUCUACAAGAUAAACAUCACAGGUCUAUACCAUCCUAGCUCUACAAGAUAAACAUCACAGGUCUAUACCAUCCUAGCUCUACAAGAUAAACAUCACAGGUCUAUACCAUCCUAGCUCUACAAGAUAAACAUCACAGGUCUAUACCAUCCUAGCUCUACAAGAUAAACAUCACAGGUCUAUACCAUCCUAGCUCUACAAGAUAAACAUCACAGGUCUAUACCAUCCUAGCUCUACAAGAUAAACAU